AAGCAUGAAAGCACAUACUACCGGCUGAAGGACAGCUUCUAUCCCACUUCUCCUCCACUGCUCCGAAGGAAAUAAUCUGGGUUUCUCCGACUCCUCCUUAGAUGAGGGAAGCAGAGUGAACGAGCAAAUAAACCGGGGCUGGGAUCAGGUGGAUGAUCAGUAUGGUGGCGCCAUGAGUCUGAAUCUUCUCGCCAAGCUGCUGUAACUCCUGCUUAAAUGCUGCCACAUUCCCAGUGUUCAC